UGUGGGGAGGACAUUCAGGCAGUCUAUGGAGAAGUCCAGGUAGUAAGCCAAUGAAGUCUUCAACCAAUAUUCAGUGAGGAACUACAGCCUGCCAACAACCAGUAGGGCUGGUUUGUUUCCAUUGUUGGCAACAAGAAGGAAUUGGUCAAGGAGUCUAAGAAGUUGUCUGGAGAACCAAGAAAAAGAUUUCCUGGAAGCAUAGAAAGAGUGCGUUUCCGGAAGAAAGAUUCAUCAAGAAUUUCAAACAUCAGGGCCAAGUCAAGCAGGACAAGAACUGAAAGGUGCUCCUCAAAUUUGCCUAUGAAGAGGCCACUGCUGGGGAGGAGUGUGUCAGGCGGCAGUGGAGGGAGGACAGCAAGUGUAAAGGAGACUCUGCAACCUCCACCUCCCAGCUUCAAGCACUUCUCGUGCCUCAGCCUCCUGAGUAGCUGAGAUUACAGGCGUGUGCCACCACACCUGGCUAAUUUGUGUAUUUUUAGUAGAGAUGGGGUUUCCACACAACUGGAAUACUACUGAGCAAUAAAAAGGAGUGAACAGUUGUCCCUCGGCGUCUGCAGGGGAUUGGCUCCAGGAGCCCCUGCCAACACCAAAGUCCACAGAUGCUGAAGUCUUUUCUAUGAAAUGACAUAGUGUUUGUAUAUAGCCUUAGGUAUGCUUUAAAUACCUAAUACAGUGUAAAUGGUAUGUAAAUAAUUAUACUGUAUUUUAAA